rnacentral:rRNA from 1 species
AACGUAGGUGGCAAGCGUUAUCCGGAUUUACUGGGCGUAAAGCGUGCGCAGGCGGUUUUGUAAGCCAGAUGUGAAAUCCCCGGGCUCAACCUGGGAAUGGCAUUUGGGACUGCAAGGCUGGAGUUUGGCAGAGGAGACUGGAAUUCCUGGUGUAGCAGUGAAAUGCGUAGAUAUCAGGAGGAAUACCGAUGGCGAAGGCAGGUCUCUGGGCUAUAACUGACGCUCAUGCACGAAAGCGUGGGGAGCAAACAGG